rnacentral:rRNA from 1 species
UGGGGAAUAUUGCACAAUGGAGGGAACUCUGAUGCAGCGACGCCGCGUGAGUGAUGAAGGAAUUCGUUUCGUAAAACUCUGUUCUAUGGGAAGAAAAGGACUGUACCAUAGGAGAAAGCUCCGGCUAAAUACGUGCCAGCAGCCGCGGUAAUACGUAUGGAGCGAGCGUUGUCCGGAAUUAUUGGGCGUAAAGGGUGCGCAGGCGGCUUUACAAGUUGGGUGUGAAAUAUUGUGGCUCAACCACAAACGUGCAUCCAAAACUGCAAAGCUUGAGUUAAGGGGAGGUAAGUGGAAUUCCUGGUGUAGCGGUGGAAUGCGUAGAUAUCAGGAGGAAUACCGGUGGCGAAGGCGACUUACUGGACUUAAACUGACGCUCAGGCACGAAAGCGUGGGGAGCAAACAGG